UAUCUGUUUUCGUAGGGGAAGAAUUUUGACGUUGCUUUUUGAUCCUUCGAUGUCGGCUCUUCCUAUCAUUGCGAAGCAGAAUUCGCCAAGCGUUGGAUUGUUCACCCACCAACAGGGAACGUGAAUUGGGAUUAGACCGUCGUAAGGUAGGCU
rnacentral:ncRNA from 1 species